ensembl:lncRNA
GGUUAACAUUAAACAGGCUGAUUUUUUUUUCUAUAUAGGGUAUUUCGAAAAUGAAAGUAGUUAAAUCAAUGAGAAAAUAAAACUGUACAUACAAAGACACAAACAGGAAAUCGUAAGAAGCGUGCAACAGUGCGUCAUCGAGAAUGAUGAUAAUAAGAAGACUUGACAGCUCAGUAGGUAUAUCGACUAUGACUGUGACUGUAUUGUCAUGCUUUAAAAAGCUUAAAACCAACGUGAUGUUGAACACCUUGUACAGAAGAGACACUGAUAGCUGAAAUGGAAGUCAUCUUUUUUGUUUUACUUGUGAAGGGAAUCCUUGCCAAACUAACAUGCACUGUGUCAGUAUACCAGAAUCAGUCUGUUGCUUAUAUCAUCUCUGGACCUCCGACUGCACCUGGAUGCUUACCCGAAUGGACCGCUGCUAACACCAUGUUGGUUGAUGAGAAGGGAAAUAUUUACCAUCAAGUGGUUUUGCAUGCUGAACCACAAAGGAUUCUCACUAUAGACUGUCAAAAAGAUGUUGCAUACCGUCUGGAAUGUUUGGCACUUUGGGUUUCUUCAGUGGUCAAGUGCAACAGUGAGUAGUAAUGGUUCUUUCUGUUCCUUUUUUUUUUUUUUUUUGAUGAACAUCUGAGUUUAAAGUCUUUGAGCUGUUUUUAGCACUACUUUCUGGCUACCUUUUAAUUCAAUAAUGUUAUUUGUAUUAAAUAACUUUUUUAUUAUUAUUUUUAAAACAUUUGCCCAGAUAAGUGUCCCACUGCACCUGUUGCAACAGUCACAAAAGUAGCCUGUAGAGACUCAACUGUGGAGCUCCCAGUUACAGGCAGAAAUCAUGUUGUAGCAUUUGCUGUUGGUGGCAUUGCUGUACUACUUUGCUUUGUCAUCAUCUUUUCCAAGUACAGACAUCUAAUGUAUGAAUCAUGACUUUCCAUGACUAAAUGUUGACAUUGGAUAAAGAACUCAUGUUUCUUUUUUUUGGUUUUCAGGUAAUCCGUUGGUGUUGUUUAAAAAAAAAACAGACACAUUUUUGGGAAAUUGCUUUAUUUUUUGGACCAAGAAUUUAUGACACUUUAGUCAGUGCUGACUGUGUCUCACCACUGCCUGCUGUUUGGAUCUUUUGAUCAUUCAGAAAAAAGUUUCCUAAUUUCCAGCAUGAGGAAACACUUACAGCCACAGGUGCAAAAAAUGAAUAAGGGGGUGACAUAUAAUACUUAAAUCAGCUUGCGCAGGGGAAAGAAGGCAUGUGACAGUUUUGGAGCCAUCUAUGUUCCCCCAAAAGACAAUUUGUAACUUGCAGCUGUCACUUGUAUGUUCUGUGUUUCUGUUCUACCUGCCUUGUCCUAGUUUUCAUUUGUUGCUUGAUUAGUUCUUUUGUUUCCACCCGUGUUCAUUUAUCUUAGUCCAUCGUUUGGUUUUGUAUACCUGUGUUCAUUUCUUAUCUUAUUAGUCCUCAGUUUGUUUGUCCUGUUUCCGUCAUGUAAAGAGUUUUUUUUUUCUCCUGUUUUUUAAGAUUCUGUUUAUUUGAUAUCUGCCUCCUUCGUACUCAUUCAAGCUCCUUCGACUGGCAACCCCGUGACAGAAGACAGGAUCCUAAAAGGAUAGACUGGGCUGAGGAUUUACUACUUAACAUCCAGCAGGAGGGACGGCCAUUGGAACGAUAUGUGGAGUUCCUGAGUGUUUAUCAUCUGGUGAGCUGGAGCAAUCAUAUGUUUAAUGGUUGCUUCCGAAUGGGACUGUACGAUGAUAACUUGUUCCGAUUUCUGUCUCCUGGUGAUAGUUAUAGACCUGUAACAGACAUUCUAAAUCACGUCCUCAAUAAUCGUCCAGAUCCCAUCUGGAAGCAUGUAGGCGCUCCGGCUCACCUUAAAUCAGCACCUUUCAUAUACUGCUCCAAUGAGCCCGCUCCCUUCGUUCAACCCAUGCCUUCGGGAUCCCAUCCAAGAUCCAUUUCAGCCCAGAAAAUGAGGCACCAGCGCUCCUGGAUUUGGCUCUUCCUCUGGAGAUCUCUGCUCCUAUCUUCUCACCUGAGUCUGCUCCAGAAAGCUCUCCUGAGUUUCCUUCAUCUCUGCUAGUCCCUUCCAGCCCUCCUUCAUUUCCUGAGUCUCCUGUGUUAGCGCCCUCCAACUGCCUGCCCCUCGAGAGCGCCUAGUUUUCCCCAAGAAAAUUUUGGGAGGCAGUCUAUAUAAAUGUGGCCACACCGGCUAAGGCCACGGAGGAUCUGCCUUGGCCUCCUGAGUCCCCUGAUCCGCCAUGGCCCCCUGAGUUACCAGCUUCUCCAUGCCUCCUGGAGCUACCAGAUCCGCCCACCACGUCCACCACUGAUGUCAUGUGUAUGUUCUGUGUUUCUGUUCUCUCUGCCUUGUCCUAGUUUUUCCUUUGUUGCUUGAUUAGUUAAUUUGUUUCCACCCGUGUUCAUUUAUCUUAGUCCAUCAUUUGGUUUUGUAUACUGUAAAUGGCCCUGACUGUCCUCAGUUUGUUUGUUUGUCCUGUCUCCGUCAUGUAAAGAGGUUGUUUUUCUCCUGGUUUUUCCAAGUGGAUUUAUUAAAAGACUGUUUAUUUGAUAUCUGCCUCCUUGGUGCUCCUGCACCUAGCAACCCUAUGACAGUAGCUAAGUUGUAAAUUAUAUUAACUUUCUCAGUCUACAUCAUUAUAAAUAAACUCAGUAUGUUAUGUACUAACAAUUGCAAAACAGGUUUUCUUUUCACUUUAACCCGCAGCUUUAAACUUAACUAAACCACUUCUGCAUAUAAGGGCAUCGGCUUUCAUAAUCUUAAACUUGCUGCCUUUUCUGUCUGUAUGCAUUUAUUUUAUUUUUCUGUGCAAUAAAUAACGUGGAUUGUGAAGGUAUUAAGGACCAUUUGUUUACUGUUUUUAUAAUACUGAUGUAAGACGCAAGUAAUUGUAACUUUAAUCACCUGCAGCUCCUGUGAAUAAAAAUUGUUUUAAC